UACGAAGGGGGCUAGCGUUGCUCGGAAUCACUGGGCGUAAAGAGUGUGUAGGCGGUGCUCCAAGUCUGGUGUGAAAUCUCCCGGCUUAACUGGGAGGUGCAUUAGAAACUGGAAUGCUAGAGGAUGGGAGAGGUAAGCGGAAUUCCUGGUGUAGCGGUGAAAUGCGUAGAUAUCAGGAGGAACACCUGUGGUGUAGACAGCUUACUGGACCUUCUGACGUGAGACACGAAAGCGUUGGGUAGCAAACAGG
rnacentral:rRNA from 1 species